rnacentral:rRNA from 1 species
AUACGGAGGGUGCAAGCGUUAUUCGGAAUCACUGGGCGUAAAGGACGCGUAGGCGGGUUGGCAAGUCAGAUGUGAAAUCCUACAGCUUAACUGUAGAACUGCAUUUGAAACUGCUAACCUAGAGUAUGGGAGGGGGAGAUGGAAUUAGUGGUGUAGGGGUAAGAUCCGUAGAUAUCACUAGGAAUACCGAAAGCGAAGGCAAUCUCCUGGAACAUAACUGACGCUAAGGCGUGAAAGCGUGGGGAGCAAACAGGAUUAGAAACCCUAGUAGUCC